rnacentral:rRNA from 1 species
UACGUAGGGGGCUAGCGUUGUCCGGAAUCAUUGGGCGUAAAGCGCGUGUAGGCGGCCCGGUAAGUCCGCUGUGAAAGUCGGGGGCUCAACCCUCGAAUGCCGGUGGAUACUGUCGGGCUCGAGUCCGGGAAGAGGAGAGUGGAAUUCCUGGUGUAGCGGUGGAAUGCGCAGAUAUCGAGGAGGAACACCGAUGGCGAAGGCAGGUCUCUGGGCCUGCACUGACGCUCAUGCACGAAAGCGUGGGGAGCAAACAGG